rnacentral:rRNA from 1 species
UACGAAGGGUGCAAGCGUUAAUCGGAAUUACUGGGCGUAAAGCGCGCGUAGGUGGUUCAGUAAGUUGGAAGUGAAAUCCCCGGGCUCAACCUGGGAACUGCUUUCAAAACUGCUGAGCUAGAGUACGGUAGAGGGUGGUGGAAUUUCCUGUGUAGCGGUGAAAUGCGUAGAUAUAGGAAGGAACACCAGUGGCGAAGGCGACCACCAGGACUGAUACUGACACUGAGGUGCGAAAGCGUGGGGAGCAAACAGG